rnacentral:lncRNA from 1 species
AAUGGACUUCUGGUGAUCAGAUCACUAUCAUUCAUAACUAAUCUGACUACACAUGGACCUUUCGGAAACGCUGCCGGCACUUCUUUCUCCGUACCAAUUGAAGGUUCGGUCGUGAAUGGAUUUCAUGGAAGAGCUGGAUACUACCUUGACGCCAUUGGCAUCUUUGUUAAACCAGAGACGACAAACUAACUUCAUAUUGGAAGAAAUAAGUUGUCUUCUCUCUAAAUAUAUCCAUGCAUACAAUGUCAAGGCGUCGAUGCUAUGUUCAUGAUGUUGUUCUUAAUUAUAUGCUCUAAUAAUGUACGGAAAUAAACGAGGGCUUUCAUAUAUAGCUCUCUGAUGUGCUAGGUUUCUUGAUGCUUCGUUGUAUCUUGUAUCAAUAAAUAUUCCGACUUUGAAUAAAAGCAGGGAUAAUGUAAACCCUAUCAGUGGUUGAAAUCCCUCUAGUGGUGAAAAUUUGAGUUUCUUUUUAAGUGCAUCAGUUCCUUGGGAGGUUCUAAUUCUUGUGACUCGGGAGUUAUUUAAACAGAGACAACCAUAAUAAAAGAUCCUUUCCUUGUAAAAAAAUAGGGAUAAAUCCUACCAGAAAUGCAGAUAAACAGUGCCAUUUACCGAUUCUAAAACCGACUCUUGAGAUUUCCACUUAGGAUCCCUGGAAAUAUGAUAACGGUUGUUUUCAAAGUGUUUUAUACUUUAAAUAUAUUAAAAUAAUAUAUUUUUUUAAUUUUUAAAAUUUAUUUUAACAUUAAUAUACCAAAACAACACGAAAACAUAACAAAAUAAUUUUACAAAAAUAAAAUACACUACAAGAUUUCACAGUUUUACUGACGGACAUAUUCCGUCGGUGUGUGAUUCAUAGUUUGUCGAUAAUAAAAUUACGGACGAAAACACUGACAGAAACAGUCCGUCGGCUUUCCUUUCAUAUGUAAUACCUAAUUCCAUCGCUAAAGCGGUCGGUAAAAAAAUAACAAUUGCCGAUGGUUUUACAGACGGAAAUCGCGGGCAAAAAAAAAAAAGUUUCCGCUUGAAAUAUACUGAUAGACUAAAUUCGGAGGUGAGUGAAUUCAAUACCGAUGUCGCACGUGUGCGGUGGCGCGGCGAUCGUCCACCCUCAAUGGAAAAAAAAAAGGAAUAUUUAUUCCUGGCAAAUAAGGAGAGACAAGGAAUUCUUGUCUCUACAUGUCAAAAUAUGGAUUGGGAGUCGCCACCUAGUAUUCUGGUUACUAGGAACCCUUACUGGUCUUUAGAGAUCAGGUACGGAGACUGGUUGCGUAAAGGGAAGGUGUUAGCACCCCAACUACGCCCUACCUAAGGUAGGCUGCAUUGUUUUGUCUAAUAAAAUCUAAGUCAUGUUGUGGUUUCCUAUUGUCCAAAAUAUGCAUUACAUGUAAUGUCAUACCCCGGGUUCUAUUGUCCAAACAAAAAGAAUUAAAUAUCCGGAAUACGCAUUACGUGUAAUGUCAUACCCCAGGUUCUAUUGUCCAAAAAAAAAAGAAUUAAAUAUCCGGAAUAUGCAUUACGUGUAAAGUCAUACCCCGGAUACUAAGAGACAAACAAAAUAAAAUUUUUGUUGUUUUUGAAAUAUUGGCCAAUAUUCUCUUGACUUUAAUAAACUGGUUAUUAAAGCCAAAAUGCAUGCUAAAAUAUUUUUUUGGUGUAUGAAAAAUACAAUAUGAAUUUUUUAGCUUUGAGACACUUGGGCGUAUGCACAAAAACAUUUUUUUUUCUCUUUUUUCAAUUUUUUUGUAUUUUUGGACGUUUUUUGACGAAAACCGGGUAUUUGAAAAUCAGAUUUUUGUAUGUUUAACAACAUAAAAAAAUACCACCAAAUAUUAAUCAAAACGACAUAAAAAUUACAUGGAAAAAUAAAAUGCUGAAAAAAAUAUUUUUUAUUUUUUUAAUGGGCCGGAUCAGGCCCAAAUAUAUGGGCUGGGCCGAACCUGGCCCAAAGAAUGGGCUACUUACUGUGCACAUAGUAACCGGGUUACUGUGUGCACAGUAACCAGAGAAUUAAUCUGCGGUUACUGUGCACAGUAACCGUGAAUUAAUUAGCGAGUUACUGUGCACAGCAUAGUAACUCGCUAAUUAAUCUUCAUCUGCUGCAGAACGUAAACGUUCUGCAUGCAGAUGAAACUGAACAAAAAAAAACGAUGGGAAAGGCUACCUGGAGCGGUGGUGAUGUGGCAGCAACUGUUGUGGCAGGGGUGGCGGCGGCGGAACUGGCUGUUCGCGGUGGCCGGCGUGCUGUUUUCCUCUCUCUCUCUCCUUGUUUUACUCUCUUCUCUGCUUCUUAUUCUUCUUCUUUUAUUUCGCUCUCUCUCCCUUCUCUUCUGCUUUCUUCCCUCUGUCUCUCCCUUCUCUUCUCUUCCCCCCCUCUUGUCUUCUGCUGUUCCUCCUCUAUUUAUAGAGCUCGUGAGCAUGUUUUUUUCAUUGUGGAGCCAAGGAACGGGUCAUGCAGCGGCUGGUCGGGCGCGGCUUUCCAGGCGUGCCUCCCUCAGUUUCGGUGGCGCGGUAGGUGGUCGGCCAAUAUCUUCGGUCGGUGGGCUAGAGGGACCGGCGGUCGUGGGCUUGAGGGACCGGCGUCAUUAAAUAUGAAUUCUUUUUCCUUCUUUGCUGCUGUGUGUUCGGCGGGAAAAAGGGGAACAGUGCCGUUCAAAACGGCACUGUUUAACCCUUCUUUUUUUUUUGCAUUUAUUAUUUUUUUAUGGGGACCCAAAAAUGGGUUACUACAACCGACAACUAUGUUCGUCGGUAAACUCAUCAGUGAUUGUGAAAUAUGCACCAAGCUACUGUAAAAUGCGAACGGAUUGAUUCCGUCGGUAAACUCGUCGGCGAUUGUGAAAUUUGCACCAAGCUACUGUGAAAUGCCGACGGAGUGAUUCCAUCGGUAAAACCCUUGGUGAAUAUUUUUUAUAGUUUUUUUAUUUGCAUAAUUUUAAAUAUUUUUUCAAAAAAAUUAUUUAGAAUUCCUAAUAUAAAAUUAUAUAAAUUAAUAGUAAAAAAAAUCAUCUAUGCAAAUAAAAUUUUUAUUAAACAUCCAAAAUAAAGUUAAAUAAUAUUCAAUAUAAACUGAAUGUGUUUUAAAAAAAUUAAAUUAACCAUUAAAAUUAAAUAAUAUUCAUUAGAAAUUAACAUAAUGGUGGAGCUGGAGGAGGAGGAGGAGAAAGAGGAGGCUAGUUUUAUACAGCAAAAAAGGAGGAGGUGCACAUGGAUCACCACUCUGUGAUGCCAUGUUCAUGACCAUUUGGUGAAGGUGUUCAUAAUUCACCGAAAGUUCCUCAUAUUUCUCAGUGAGAUGAGCCACGUGUUGCUUUAAGGCCACGAACUCCUUAGAUUGGGUGCUCGAUAUUGAUUGGGAGCUCCCAACAGUUGAGACACCACGAGCCGCUCGCAAGUUCUCGCCGUAGUGUUGGAAAUCCCAUAAACCUGAUUUUUAUCGGGUCCACCGGACGAUCCAACCUCCAUCCAUAAAUCCAAAUUGAAUUCCGGAUGGAUCGAAGGAUCGUCCCCAUACCUCUCCCUCAACCAGCUAUUAUAGGUCUCCUGAAAAAAAAAAAAGUAAUCAUCAUAUUCAAUAAAAAUAAUUUACAAAAUAAAAUGGUUGAAUAAACAUACCACAAAAUAUUGAGCACGGUUGUCAACGAACUGUUGAGCCCCCUUUUGGCGAUCUUGACUUCGCACGUGCGUCUCAACAAACAGCUCAAUCGGGCUCGGCUCACAUUCAAGAGAUGUAGCCUACGGAAAAUUGGAGGCAAAAACCCUAAUGACACUGGUGUACAAAGAAGAGUGAGUAUGGCAUUUAUGGCUUGCACCGGAUAGCAAAACAAAUGAAGCAUUUCCUUUUCUCUUCCUUCUUUAGCUAAGCUAAUACUAUAUACAAUAUUCUAUGAUGCAACUUACGUGUAGAUUGAGAUUGAUGGGCUUUUAGAGCAUCUAACAUCCAUAACUGGGAUAUGGAAAUUAUGCUGGAAUGGUGGUGAUCACAUCAUUAUCGUUCAUAACUAAUCUCACUACACAUGGACCUUUCGGAACCGCUAUCGGCACUUCUUUCUCCGUACCAAUUGAAGGUUCGGUCGUGAUUGGAUUUCAAGGAAGAGGAGACCACUACCUUGAUGCAAUUGGCAUCUUUGUUCUACCACAUACGACAAUCUAACUUCUUAUUGGAAGAAAUAAGUUGUCUUCUCUCUAAAAUACCCAUGGAUACAAU